GACGAACGCCGGCGGCGUGCUUAACACAUGCAAGUCGAACGGAAAGGCCCUGCUUGCAGGGUACUCGAGUGGCGAACGGGUGAGUAACACGUGGGUGAUCUGCCCUGCACUUCGGGAUAAGCCUGGGAAACUGGGUCUAAUACCGGAUAGGAGCCAUUUUUAGUGUGAUGGUUGGAAAGUUUUUUCGGUGUAGGAUGAGCUCGCGGCCUAUCAGCUUGUUGGUGGGGUAAUGGCCUACCAAGGCGGCGACGGGUAGCCGGCCUGAGAGGGUGGACGGCCACAUUGGGACUGAGAUACGGCCCAGACUCCUACGGGAGGCAGCAGUGGGGAAUAUUGCACAAUGGGCGCAAGCCUGAUGCAGCGACGCCGCGUGGGGGAUGACGGCCUUCGGGUUGUAAACUCCUUUCGCUAGGGACGAAGCUUUUUGUGACGGUACCUAGAGAAGAAGCACCGGCUAACUACGUG
rnacentral:rRNA from 1 species